rnacentral:rRNA from 1 species
GGGCCCGCACAAGCGGUGGAGCAUGUGGUUUAAUUCGAUGAUACGCGAGGAACCUUACCAGGGCUUAAAUGUAAGUUGCAUAGAUCAGAGAUGGUCUUUUCUUCGGACUACUUACAAGGUGCUGCAUGGUUGUCGUCAGCUCGUGCCGUGAGGUGUCAGGUUAAGUCCUAUAACGAGCGCAACCCCUGUCGUUAGUUACCAGCAAGUAAUGUUGGGUACUCUAGCGAGACUGCCGGUGCAAACCGUGAGGAAGGUGGGGAUGACGUCAAAUCAUCACGGCCCUUACGUCCUGGCUACACACGUGCUACAAUGGCCGGUACAGAGGGAAGCCACCCCGCGAGGGGGAGCGGA